rnacentral:rRNA from 1 species
AUUGAACGCUGGCGGCAGGCCUAACACAUGCAAGUCGAGCGGAUGAGGGGAGCUUGCUCCUGGAUUCAGCGGCGGACGGGUGAGUAAUGCCUAGGAAUCUGCCUGGUAGUGGGGGAUAACGUCCGGAAACGGGCGCUAAUACCGCAUACGUCCUGAGGGAGAAAGUGGGGGAUCUUCGGACCUCACGCUAUCAGAUGAGCCUAGGUCGGAUUAGCUAGUUGGUGGGGUAAAGGCCUACCAAGGCGACGAUCCGUAACUGGUCUGAGAGGAUGAUCAGUCACACUGGAACUGAGACACGGUCCAGACUCCUACGGGAGGCAGCACUGGGGAAUAUUGGACAAUGGGCGAAAGCCUGAUCCAGCCAUGCCGCGUGUGUGAAGAAGGUCUUCGGAUUGUAAAGCACUUUAAGUUGGGAGGAAGGGCAGUAAGUUAAUACCUUGCUGUUUUGACGUUACCAACAGAAUAAGCACCGGCUAACUUCGUG